AUGCUAAGUGGAAAACGUUGUGAAGGUGCAUAGACAACUAGGAGGUUGGCUCAGAAGCAGCCACCCUUUAAAGAGUGCGUAAUAGCUCACUAGUCGAGUGCUCUUGCGCGGAUAAUGUACCGGGGCUAAGCAUAUUACCGAAACUGUGGAUGCGUAAGCAUGGUAGGAUAGCGUAAUUAACGCGAUGAAGGAUGACCGUAAGGACAUGUUGGAGCGUUAACUAGUGAGAAUUCCGGUAUGAGUAGCGAAAGAUAGGUGAGAAUCCUAUCCACCGAAUGAGUAAGGUUUCCCCCGGAAGGCUCGUCCGCGGGGGGUUAGUCGGGACCUAAGGCGAGGCUGAAAAGCGUAGUCGAUGGACAACAGGUUGAUAUUCCUGUACCGAUAUUUAAUUGCCGAAGGAAGGACGCAGAAGGAUAACACAGGCCACUAUUGGAUGUGGUUUUAAACAGUUAGUCUUCAUAAGAGUCAAAUGCUUUUAUGUUUAAGGAUAAGCUGUGAAUGUACCAAGUUUACUUGGAAAUUGUGUGAUUUCACGCUGCUGAAAAAAGUUUCGUAGGAAGAAAAUAUUGCCCGUACCGCAAACCGACACAGGUACUCGAGUGGAGAACACUAAGGUGAGCGAGUGAACUAUUGUUAAGGAACUCUGCAAAAUGAGUCCGUAACUUCGGAAGAAGGACUGCUGGUUUUAUACCAGCCGCAGCAAAUAGGCCCAAACAACUGUUUAUCAAAAACACAGGUUUCUGCAAAAUCGUAAGAUGAAGUAUAGGGGCUGACGCCUGCCCAGUGCUGGAAGGUUAAAAGGAGGACUUAGCUUCGGCGAAGGUCUUAAUUGAAGCCCCAGUGAACGGCGGCCGUAACUAUAACGGUCCUAAGGUAGCGAAAUUCCUUGUCGGGUAAGUUCCGACCCGCAUGAAAGGCGUAAUGAUUUGGGCGCUGUCUCAACAAUAGACUCGGUGAAAUUUAAAUUCCAGUGAAGAUGCUGGGUACCCGCGACAGGACGGAAAGACCCCGUGGAGCUUUACUGUAGCUUGAUAUUGAAUGUUUGUGCUGCAUGUGCAGGAUAGGUAGGAGACUUUGAAGUCGGAACGCUAGUUUCGAUUGAGUCACCCUUGAGAUACUACCCCUGUUGUAUGAACG
rnacentral:rRNA from 1 species